CAAAGGUGCACACCUGAAAGAACUCUUCAGCUACCGGAUAUGAACAUGAAGGACUGCUGGUACCCACACUCAGUCAAUGACUCACAGGAGCCUUGUUACUUUGGCAAGAAUUCUAUGUUCAUUUAAUAAGUUUGCAGAGACGGACGGAAAUCUGCUUUAUUACUCUCAUCCCUCAGCCCGGAAAGCCAAAUCCUUUAUCAGUACAGCUGCUGCUUCAUUCCACAUGUCUGAAGACACCGCUGUCUCCUCAAUCAGCAGCUUUGGCAGAGAGUCAGGUAAAGAAAUGGAAAUUUGUCAUUAACAGAAGAUAAAAACAGAGGGUGGAAGGAGGAAAUUGAAGCACAUUCUUGGACAAGAAUAAAAUCAUUAAAAUGUUAACAAAAGGCAAAUAGCACUUUAACCUACCUUUGUCUGCAAUCCAUACUGCUCUGAGACACCUAACACUCAGGUUUGAAGAACUGCAAUCUCCAGUCUGCUGACAUGGGUAGAAUCUCGUUUGUCACCUGUAUAUGACAGCACCAAUGAAAUGGUGAUUUGGCAUUCUUGGCUUGUCAGUGUAUGAAAUACCAUGUAGCAAAACAAAACUAUGUUUCCAAAGGUAUGAGUUACAAGACAAUUUAUUAAACAUUUUUAAAUAGUUUAUGCUAUGUAGUUUCUAUAAAUAAAAAAGUAUCUGUAUUUAUUUGAUGAUAACAGUUGAGGCUUAUUUCAUUGUGUUUUUUUCCACAUUUUUUACUUUCUAGCUUUUAAUUUUUACUUUUUUUUAACAUUUUCUAAAUUUUCUACCAUAAGCAAGCAUUAAUUUUAUAAGUAGGAAGUUUAUUUUGUUAUUGAAACAACAGUGAAAUGUGAGAUAAAUGUUAAAAUCCAUUAACUCAAAAUAAAUGAAGAACAAUUAUUUUGGUGAAAUGAUAUAACUAGACUAUGUGGUCAAAUCAACAGUGAAUUACAACCUUGAAAGAAUGUGAUAUCGUGUCUUCUGCACAAAUAAAAUCUUGAUAGCAUAUGUGAAAGAAUUUAUAUAUGUGAACCCAUUUCCCAUUCUUGAUAUGAAAAAAAUUACAACUGCCCUAUUUUUAUUGCUUCUUCUUUGUAAUAAACAUAUGACUUCUUUGCAAUUGACUAAAUCAUGUAAAUUCACUGCAUGUUAGAAGAGAUUAAAUCAGAAUCAGUUCUGCCUUCAUUGCAUAAACUUCCAGUUACAUGAUGCCACAGAAAAAUUUCCAAUCAGUUGCAUAAAUUUGAAAAUAUAUUUUUUACACCAUAUAACCUCAACUUAGUACUAGCAAUCUGUUACAUGAGUUUCUAGUUUAUAUGGUGGCUUGAUUUGUCAAGAAAUACAAUCACAGGUUUUUGUUUUUCAUUUUUUGUUUUUUGUUUUGAGACAGAGUUUUGUUCUUGUCGUCCAGGCUGGAGGGCAAUGGCGCGAUCUCGGCUCACUGCAACCUCCUCCUUGUGUGUUCAAGCGAUUCUCCUGCCUCCGCUUCCUGAGUAGCUGGGAUUGCAGACGCCUGCCACCACGCCCAGCUAAUGUUUGUAUUUUUAGUAGAGACGGGGUUUCACCAUGUUGACCAGGCUGGUCUCAAACUCCUGACCUCAGAUGAUCCACCUGCCUGGGCCUCCCAAAGUGCUAAGAUUACAGGUGUGAGCCACUGUGCGGGGCCACAAGUUGUUUCUUAUAUCCUAUAUAUCCUAAUAAAGAAUACAACUGCCAAGAAGACAUUUGAGGGAGAAAAUAAACAUUGACUCUUUGUAUCAUAGUUAUACUGCUUCAUCUCAAAUCCUAACAAGUUAUUAAUGUUUGUAUUUUUAGUAAACGUAACUAGAUGAAAACUACUAAAGUGGGCAAAUAAGAAAUGUUAGUUUAAAAAAAAUAGAAUGGAAGAAGAUGUUUGAAAACUAUAGCAUUUAUUAAAUAGUAAAUAUUAAAAUACAAAGUUUGAAAAUAUAGUCUAUAUGAUUAAAGAAAAAUAAUAAAGCACUAUCAAGAUACUAUCUCUUUUUUCACCCUGUUUGUUAAAUGUAUUAUAAAAAUGUGAAGUCAUAUCAAAGUUUAUUAAUAAAAUUUAAAAAUGGAAUAAUAUGAAAUUUGACAAUAUCACUUUAACCCCUUUCACAAGUUAAAAUAUAAUAAAUAUUUUAAAACAAAAUGUUAAAAAAUGUAGUGAUAAUAUGCCAGUUAGAAUGGUGAUCAUUAAAGAGUCUAGAAACAACAGAUGCUGGUGAGGGUGUGGAG
rnacentral:lncRNA from 10 species